AUGCCAUUUAUGUUUGCAUCUCUAUCUCCCGUCACCGUCUCCUUUCAUCUCCUCUUCCCCCGUUCGUUGCCCUUCAUUUUUACCCCCUCAUAUCGCAGUUGGUUUUUCUCUGAAUACUUCAAACGCCUCCAACUUGAAUGCAGCCAUCCUAGAGCCCACCCAGCACGAUAGAGGCAUCUUGAGGCAAGGGGCUUCUCUCUUAGAACCAUCGAAUGUCUGAGCGAGAAGGGAACUGGAAAAGGCGUCAUUAGCUCCAAACAUCUAUUUUUCAAAUGAGGGGACUGAGGCCAAAUAGAAGUGUGUUGGCUAAGAUACAGAAAUUGCUCACACAAUGAUAAGCCAAAGAAGAUCCACCUGUACUUGGUAUGUUGGAAGAAGCUUCGUUGGAGUCUUACAGACCAGUGUGGUGAUGUGGAUACCAAUUACUAGUCCGUCAGUUUACCAGCUAGAUGGUCAGCUGCGGUCCGGACGCUGACCCUAACCUCUCUCUCAUGUUCAAUUUCAGAAUCUUCAGACUUGUAAUAAUAUGUACAUCACCAAGGUUGAAGGUUGAUGGUAGUAUAAAUGAGUUCUGGAGAUCAGAAGUCCAGAAUGGAUCUCACUGGGCCAAAAUCAGGAUGUUGGCAGGUCUGCAUUCCUUCUGGAAGCUCUAGAGGCAAGUACAGUUGUUUGCCUUUUCCAUCUUCUAGAGGCUGCCCACAUUCUUUGU